rnacentral:tRNA from 1 species
GCGGUCGUGGCGGAAUUGGUAGACGCGCAGCGUUGAGGUCGCUGUGGAUUUUAUCCGUGGAAGUUCGAGUCUUCUCGACCGCACCA